GAAAAGAGACGGGGAUCACUUUUUUUGGGUAAAAAGAUCUUUUCCUUUCUUCUUUCUUGGAAUACAAGACACACGCGCACACACACAAAAAAGGGGAACAGACGGGGAUUUUCUGGGCAGGAAACAAAACAAAAGAAACGAAAAGGGACGAGCAAAAAAACAGAGAGAGAGAGAGAUGAGCAAGCAAAAAUCACAAAAAUCUUGUUCUUCUUCUUCUUCUUCACCUUUUUCCUACACCUUAUACUGCCAUGGAAAUGCAGCCCCAGUAGCUCCACAAUACACCAACAAAACAGUCUACUUCCACCACUAAAAAAUCAGUGGAAGCUCUCAUCUUCAUUCACCACAUAAACCUGCCGGAAAACUCCAUGAAAGAGACUUGAAACUUCAUGAAAACCAGCAAAACAGAGCUUCUUCCUCAACCAAAAAGAACAUUAGCUCUCAUCCAUGUGAAGCCACUGAAAACCACCUUAAAUCACCCCAAACCAUCCCCUAUUUACUACUGAAGCCCAGCUUCAAAACACAGCAAAAGCUGCUGCCAAGGUCACCCGAAAAAGAAAAAAAUCCGUUUGAGCUCAAGUUCGAAGCAUUCUUGUCCAAGUUCGUCGUUUGAGGUUCGAGUUCUCAGUCGAGGUUCCAUCAUUGGCGAGGUGUACGAUCUGAGAUUAGUGAGCUUUUUGGGCAGGUUCUUCGCUUCAGGUCGAGUUCUCCAUUUUUUUGGACUGUCGUCUGAUUUUAUGUAAGUUGGUUUGGAGUUUUCGGCUAAAUAAAGGUUCCCUUUUAUUCUUUAAUAUGCUUCUUAGUUCAUGGUAUCUGUUGCAAUUUUGUUUGUCUUAUGAAAGUUAGAUGAAUAUUCUUAUUAGUACUUGAUUACAACAUGCCUAAAUCAUGAAAUCGCUUGAGAAUUUCUAUGGGGUCGAUGUAUAUUUUAGUGUUAUGAAUUUGGAAUCAAUGUGUACUGAUAGGAAGGUGUUGUUUCAUUUAUUAAAUUUGAUAUAAAACUAAUUGAAAUGUGUUAAGGAAAAUAAAUAACGUUUGUAAACAGAGAUUGAAAAGCAAGGUUUGGACUUAGCGCAAAGAAUUUGGGGCAUUGGAUGGAUUCACAUUUAAGAAGGAAUGAGUUAUUAUGAUUAUUGGGCCAUCUGAUACUUGGCAAAGUAGCAGGUAAGGAAUCCCAACGUGGUAAAUCCAUAUACUAAGACCAUUUUCGUAAAUAAUAAUUUAUCUUCUCAUACCAAAAUAUUUCUAACACGAUAGCAUACUUUAAGCACACUCUUAAUUAAUUAAAUUAUCGUGAUUAUGUAUACGUUCGCGAGAUAUAAUUAUGAUUUCCAUCAUUAAAACCAAAGUAUGUGUUCGUGCAACUUUGGAGAAAACAAUCUUAAUAAAAAUAAAAUAUUAUUGAUUGUGUGCACGUUCGUGUGAUACGAGUACAAUUUAAAAAUAAAUAUUCGUAUAAAAUGCUUUAGGUGCGACUUAAUCUAUCAUCGUGAUUGUGUAUAAGUUCGCGUGACAUAAUUAUAAUUUUUAAAAUAAAUCAAGGUAUGCGUUCGCACAACUUUGGGUCAAACAAUCUUAAUAAUAAUAAAGUGUUAUUAGUUGUGUACACGUACGCGUGAUAUGACUUUGACACACCAAACAAAACGAGUACACGUACACAUGACUCGUUUUGAGAUAAUUCCAUAAUUCAAUAAUCAAACAAUUAAAAGCGGUUAAAAGGGUAAAGGCACAUAGGUUUAAAAAUAAGUAAUUAAAAUAAUUUAAUUAAGCCAGGUAUGAUUAAAGCGACCGUGCUAAAACCACAGAAAUUAGGAGUGCCUAACACCUUCUCCCGGGUUAAUAGAAUCCCUUACCUGGUCUUCUGGUUUAGCAGACUUUAAAACAGAGUCAAAUUUCUUCGAUUUGAGAUUUAAAAUAAACCGGUGACUUGGGACACCAUAAAGUAUUCCAAGUGGAGACUCUGAAAAAAUAAAUAAUCCCAUUUCGAUUAAUAUCACUUUAAUUGAAAAAACUCUCUUAUGUCCCUUUCGGGUAAAAAGGAGGUGUGACAGCUCAGGCGACUCUACUGGGGAUCGAACCUAGAAUCUCUGGUUCAGGGUUGAAGAAUUCGAGCUUGUUAUUGUGAUUUUUACUUGGCUUUAUUUAUUGUUGAUAUUACUGUAUUUUGUGGGUCUAAUAUGCUAAUUGCCGCUUAUUUACCGCUUUGAUAUUGUUUGAAUUGUAUUAAAUUGUCUUCUUACGCCUUCCUUCUGAGUCUUCUAAAAAAUAGUGCACACGUACGCGUGGCCUAAUUUUCUGUUAAAGGUCGUACCAAAUAGAGCGAGGAUGGAUCAGCCACUAGGCCAGGUAGACUUUUGUGCUCCAAGUACGUCGCUCCCACCUAGGCUCAAGUUGUCCGCUUGGGUAAGCCAGGUCUAGAACACAAUUCCAGGUUUAAACCUAGAAUAACAUAACCUCAUACCGAAUCCCUAGUAGGAACAUUUGUUUGCAUCACGUGCAUUUGACUUUGAAGACUCAACACAGGAGUUGGGUCCGUCUAAGACAGGUGUACCCGAAAUGAAAGACCAUCCUGAUGCAUCUUACGUGCUAUUUGUAAAUUUAUUUGUUUCGGUUUGUAUAUUGACCGGCUAAGGAAAAAAAUAGCAGAAAACCAAGAGUGAGGUAGGAUAGAGAAUUCACCCGGUUCUGAAAAUCCCGAUAUUUGAAAAAAUGCCUCGAAACUCUGCCAAAAUUUUUGGAAAAAAAAAGAGGAAAAGAAAAUGUAUUUCAAAGAAUGAAAGUGAGUCAAUAUCAUGUUUUUUCCAAUUUUGUCAAAACUGACCUAACUACACGGAUCCGAUUCUCACCUGAUGUGAGAUACAUAGGCAAACCUCAUCGGUUCUGGCCCACAAUUUUCAAAAUAAAUCCAAAAAUAUUUUUUCUUUACUUACUUCUUUAGAAAGUCUUUCUUUUAGAUCCCAAUUUUUAAAAAUACAAAAAUAUUUUCUUUUAAUUUCUUCUCAAAAUCCAAAAAUAUUUUCAUUCUUCUUUCAAAAUUUGAAAAGAAAAUUCUAGAUUCAAAAAUAUUUCCUUUUUCUUUAGAAGCAUUUCAUUCAUAAAUUCAAAAUAAAAUUUCAAAAAAUCCAAAAAUAUUUUCUUUCUUCUUUAAAAGUUUUUCUUUCGAAAAUUCAAAAAAAAUAUUUUCUUUCUUCUUUAAAAGUCUUUCUUUUCAAAAAUUUUAAAAAGAAAACAACAAACAAACAAAUCAAAAUCAAAAAAUAUUUUGUUUCUUCUUUUCAAGUCUUUCUUUCGAAAAAAGUCCAAAAUCCAAAAAAAGAGUUAGUUUAUUUACUUUCUUCCUAAUCUUUCCGAACUACGCAAAGAUAUGAUUCAUGCGGCGUCAUGAUACGUAGGCAACCUACAUCAGGUUCGAUCGAAUGGUUUAAAAGAAAAAAAGAAACAAAAGAAAAGAGAGAGAAUAAAGAAAGAAAAAGAAGAAGNNNNNNNNNNNNNNNNNNNNNNNNNAUGGGAUGACAUGGCCUGGGCCUUUGUCAAACAGUUCUAAUAAAACAUCGACAUUGCACCAGACCACAAUUCCCUUUCAAACCUGAAGAAGAAACCAAUUGAAAGUUUCAGGAAAUAUGCCACUUAAUGGAGAGAGCAAGCGACUAGAGUUAAGCCACCCAUGGAUGACCACGAGCUAAUCACUAUAUUCCUUCAGGCGGAAGAGCCAGAUUACUUUCAAAACAUGAUGUCCGUAGUUGGCAAAUCCUUCUCGGAAGCAAUCAAAAUGGGAGAAAUGGUAGAGAUUGGCGUUAAUACAGGUAGAAUUAUAAGUCAAGCAGCUCUCAAAGCUGCAACUCAGUCUGUCCAAAUUGAAUCUGGUAAUUUUAGUGAAACGAAUGAUAAGGUUGAAGAAAUCAUGAUGACAUUAGGGUUGAGAAGAGGUCCUAGGAGAAUAGCUCGAAGGUAUGACCAGCCUCGUCUAUAUUUUGAUGAUUCCCUUGAGCACUACUAUCCACCUCAGAACCCACAAUACUCUAUUGCUCCACCCCAGUAUGUUGUCCAGCCACCAAGACACCCCAUAAGGCGAGCACCAGCACCGCAAAAUCUUCACCAGCCUCUAUAAAAUUUUCAAGUGCCCUAUAACCUACAUCCAAGCCAGGGGUAUAGAGGGGAACAAAGGUUGAAAGAUAAUUUUACCCCAAUAGGAGAGUCCUAUGCAAGAUUAUUUGAGAAGUUAAAGCAUUAUGACAUGAUUGCACCCAUUCCUCCAAAUCAUGUGGACCCACGUGAAAUAAGCUUUGACUCUUCUAAAAGGUGUAAAUACCAUUCCAAUGCCCAUGGGCUAAAUGUCAAGCUUAUCAAUUGAAAAGUCAUUCCCUCCUCACUAGGAAGGAAUCUUGGUAGCUUGUUUUGAUUUUUUUCUAUUAUCUGGGUUAUUUCAGGGUUGUGAUCCAGAUUUUAUUUGUUUUAUUGAGUCAAACCCUUCUAUCCUUCCAUUCUGUUUGUGUGAGUCUUGUCCGUUUGUUCUAUUGCUAUUUUCAUCAUCCGGGUUAUUUUAGGGUUGUAACUCGGAUCGUAGGUUGUUUGUCUUGUUGUUUACUCAAUGAAAUACAGUUUGUACUUUUGUGUCAUUCCGUGCUUAGUUCUUUUCCGCUAGUUUUAGUGAUAUGACAUGCGUGCGAAAAUUUUGGCCAGAUUUUAGAAAACUGAUUUAGUCUUGAAUUGGAUAAUUGAGAACAAGACACUUUUGAGGAUGAAAAAGAGUUGAAAUACCUUGGAAUUAAGACCGAGUAAAAUUCAAGUGGUACUAUAAUAGUCAUACUCAUGGAGGUUAAGGAUAUUUACCUUCAUAGUCAUUGUGAAGAUCGGUUUGAGGAAGAAUCAAUUGAAGUAUAUUGGAAAGUUUGUCAUUAAGUGAUGGAAGUGUCUUGUGACCACGACACACCAAGAAGACAGACAUGUUCGUCAAUGUCGUGAUCGCGAAAAGAUACUAUGUUUGACAUUCUCGAGGCUGAGAGGCCCUUUUUUCUGCUACCCAAAUACUUUAUAUCCUUUAUUACCCCUUUUGAGCCUGUGUUAUUUUCUUUGACAAAUCUCUUUUGGAAUCAAGUUUAGAGUUAAAAGUCUAAUAAAAAAUAAAAAUGGAAAAAUGAUAAAAAAAAAGUCCAUACCCCAAGAGUACAAACUGAGGCAGCUUUUAGAAAAUUCAAGUGAAAAAAUGAAGAAGAAAAUAAUUGUCUGUAAUGAUCUGGCCGGUCGUUUCAUGAGUUACCGCUCUUUUUCCCCCAUUUCUACUUCUUUAUGUCUUGUUCAGCUGUAUUAUGUGGUAUUGGGGUGGUUGUUCAGCUGUAUUAUGUGGUAUUAAAGAAUGAGACACUUCGUCUCUUUUGAGUAAGCUUAAGUUGGAAAAGUCAACCGGAUGUUAACUUAUGUGAACAAGGUCUCGAAUGUGAAUUCCGAUGGUUCGGAUAGCCUCUUUAGGUGAUUUGGGAGUUAGGUUCGUGAUCAGAAUGUAUUUUGGAGGUCAGUGGUAGAUUCAGGCUUGAAUUGGGGAAAUUAGAAUUUUGGCGUUUUCAGGUUGGUAGUGGAAAUUUUGAUAUUGGGGUCGGAAUGGAAUUCCAGAAAUUGGAUAGGUCCGUUGUGUAAUUUUGUGAUAUGUGUGCAAAAUUUCAGGUUAUUCGGGCGAGGUUUGAUAGACUUUUUGAUCGAAAGCGGAAUUUGGAAGUUUUGGAAUUCUUAGGCUUGAAUCCGAGGGGAUCAGAUGUUUUAAUAUUGUUUUGAGCAUUCCGAAGGUUGGAAUAUGUUUGAAUGAUGUUAUGGGAUGUGUUGGCAUGUUUAGUUGAGGUCCCAAGGGCCUCGGGUGAGUUUUGGGUGGUUAACGGACCAAUUCUUGGUUUUGGGGAGUUGCAGAUUUUCUGGUUUUUAUUGCAGAGGAAAUUGUUCUUUGCGUUCGUGAAGAAGCGCUGGACCUAGGGGAGAAAAUGUUCUUCGCGUUCACGAGCCUGGGGUCACAUUCGUGUAGGUUUGGAUUCCAUUGAAUCGCGAAUGCGUGAGAGGAGUCCCGUUCGCGUAGGGUAAUUGGAGCAGCUGGGACCCCAUGAGUUUUGUGCUUUGCAUUCGCGUAGGUAAGGUCGCGUUCGCGAAGGCUUGGGCAGUUGAAGCUUCGCGUUUGCGUGAAGGGAGCGGCGUUCAUGAAAGAGGAAUAUUUGGCCAGUGAGGUUUUGUGCUUAGCGAACACGAGGCUUUGAGCGCGUUCGUGAAAAAGGAAUUAAUGUCUAGGCAGAAUGUUUAAAUAGUUUCCUUCGCGAUUCUUGGUCCAUUUUCUCCAUUGUUGAACGGUUUGAAGCUUUUUGAGAGGGAUUGUAGAGGGAAUCGAAGGGAAACACUUGGAGCUAAGAAUUUGGAACUCAAUACUCGAUUCUCUGGUGAUUUCUAUCUAAUUAGACAUGAAAUUCGUGGGAUUUAAAGCCUAAAAUUGGGGAAUUAGGGCUUGAAAUUGGAGACUUUGAUUUAAGGAUUUGAGGGGUCAUUAGUGGUCGAAUUUUGAUGUAAUUGGUAUGUAUGAACUCAUGAGAGUUCAAGGAUUCUAGUUUUGUAAUUUUUAUCGGAAUCCGAGACGUGGGCCCGGGGGUCGGGUUUGGCCAAUUUUGGGAUUUUUGAUGUAAUUCGAUUAUUUUCGCUUGGGAUUUGUUCAUUUAGUGCAUAUUAAUAGUAUGAUUCUAAUUUUGGUUAGAUUUGGAGAAUUGGAGGACGAUUCGAGGAGCAAAGGCAUCGCGGGCUAGAGUUUGGACCGGAUUAAUGUAAGUAAUGAUUGUAAAUGUUGUCUUGAGGGUAUGAAACUCCGGAUUUCACAUCGUUGUGCUACUUUGAGGUAACACACACGUCAGAUGACGAGCGUGGGGUUGUGCACCGUUGGGGAUUAUGACUUGUUCCGUCCCGUACGACUAUUAAGUUGCGUAUUUGAUUGAAGACUGUUUGAAAUCAUUGUGUUUUGGAAAGUAUUACUAUGUUUUGGGCUAAAUGCCAUAUUUGGGCCUCAUGACAACUGUUUGGACCCUUAGGGGAUUUUUUUACUACUAUUCCUCACUAUUUUGACCUCAUAUUUGUACUCAGUGAUGUUGUAUUCUACUGUUUUCAUACCUCAGCCGUAUUUACUCCGUUUUGACAUUUUAAAUGAUGUGUUGGGCUGAGCAUCAUGAUUUACUGUUGCCCGAGUGGCUUGAGAGGUUUCUAACUGAGUGAGGCCGAGGGCCUGUGUUGUGAGGAUUGUUAUGGAAUUGGGCUAUGCACCGCAACAUGUGUACUGAUUUGUGAUAUAUGAGAGGCCGAGGGCCUGAUUUGUUAUGCCACGAGAUGGCUUGUGAUAGCGCUUGGGCUGUAGGAGCCCUUCUGGAAUCUGAACACCCCCAGUGAGCGCGGGUACCCAGUUUGAGAGAUGUGAUAUUGCCCGAGGGGCUGAUGUUGUUUCAUGUUAUUGCCCGAGGGGCUGAUGUUGUUUCAUGUUAUUGCCCGAGGGGCUGAUGUUGUUUCAUGUUGUUGCCCGAGGGGCUGAUUAUGAGUGAUUAUGAGGUAGCCGGGGGGCUGGUUUCUGUUGAUAUUUUGCCCGAGGGGCGGUUGUGGUAUAUGUUUUGCCCAAGGGACUGUUUACGCUUUCUACCCUUUUACUCACUGUUUUCAUCACUCGUUUGAAACUAUUGAAAGAUGUUGUAAAAAUGUUUUACUGAGCUGAGUUAUUUUUACGAGUUUUGUUGAUUUACUGUAUUAAUUCUGCAUAUAUACUAUUUUUUUGUGGUGCUAUGACGUGAAAUUACCUGUUUCUUACUACUCAGGUGCUUUUACUUUUAUUACUUACUAAGUUGGCGUACUCACAUUACUCCCUGCACCUUGUGUGUAGAUACAGGAGUCUCGGGGCGCCAUAGUGAGUGCUGAUAAGUCUUCCUGCCGGUCUCCGAAGUUGACUAGGUAGCUGCUUGGUGUUCGCAGCCCAGUGCUUCUCUUUCAUAUCUUAUUCAGAUUGUCGUAGUAUUUUAUUUUUGGACUAUGCUGUAUUUUCUUAUUCCUAGACGAGUUGUAGUUGCUCAUGAUUGGUGACACCCUGAUGUCGGGCUUGUGUUAUAUUUUUG
rnacentral:lncRNA from 1 species